ACACAUGCAAGUCGAACGAGAAAGCUCCUUCGGGAGUGAGUACAGUGGCGAACGGGUGCGUAACACGUUGGUGACCUGCCUUGAGGAGGGGGACAACCGUGGGAAACCACGGCUAAUACCCCGGAUGUCUAAACUGUUAGAGGGUUUAGACUAGAACUUCGGUGCCUCAAGAGGGGCCUGCGGGCUAUCAGCUUGUUGGUGGGGUAAUGGCCUACCAAGGCUAAGACGGCUAGGGGGCGUGAGAGCGCGACCCCCCACAAUGGAACUGAGACACGGUCCAUACUCCUACGGGAGGCAGCAGUGAGGAAUAUUGCGCAAUGGGGGAAACCCUGACGCAGCAACGCCGCGUGAACGAUGAAGGCCUUCGGGUCGUAGAGUUCUUUUCUAAGGGAAGAUAGUGACGGUACCUUAGGAAUAAGUCCCGGCUAACUACGUGCCAGCAGCCGCGGUAAAACGUAGGGGGCGAGCGUUAUCCGGAUUUAUUGGGCGUAAAGCGCACGUAGGUGGCGCUGUAAGUUAGACGUGAAAGCUCUCGGCUCAACUGAGAGAGGUCGUUUACAACUGCAGUGCUUGAGGUUAGAAGAGGAGAGCAGAAUUCCCGGUGUACUGGUGGAAUGCGUAGAUCUCGGGAGGAAUACCAGUGGCGAAGGCGGCUCUCUAGUCUACACCUGACACUGAGGUGCGAAAGCGUGGGUAGCGAACGGGAUUAGAUACCCCGGUAGUCCACGCUGUAGACGAUGGAUACUAGGUG
rnacentral:rRNA from 1 species